rnacentral:rRNA from 1 species
GACGAACCGAGCGAACGUUGUUCGGAAUCACUGGGCUUAAAGGGCGCGUAGGCGGGUGCUCAAGUCUGUGGUGAAAUCCUCCGGCUCAACCGGAGAACUGCCAUGGAUACUGGGUGUCUCGAGGGUGGUAGGGGUAUGCGGAACUAUCGGUGGAGCGGUGAAAUGCGUUGAUAUCGAUAGGAACUCCGGUGGCGAAGGCGGCAUACUGGACCACAUCUGACGCUGAGGCGCGAAAGCCAGGGGGAGCAAAACGGGG